AUGGGGCAAGUAGGCCAAUAUGAUUUAUCAGUACUACAGAGUGGAGCGCCAGCACCUGUACCAGUGCCCACCCAUGCUAUUCCAAGCAUAGCAAAAAACAAAUUACUAUAUAUAAAAGAAUUAAACAAACUGAUGCAAGAAGUUGAAAUAUUUAAUUUACAAAAUUCACAUAUAAAAUUUGUAUUAACAACCAAGGUUCCCUUUUCUGUCGAUUCAGAUGUAAUAGAAUUAAGGGGUAAAGAGAAAAAAAAAGUGCGUGUGUUUUUUGAUGUGGAUUUUAUGAAUAAUAAAAUAAAUGCGACAUACGAAGAAAUUUUAAUAGUUAAUUUUUUUGAAAAUAAUAGAAGACAGAAAUUUGAUUUAAUCGGUGAAACUAUUUAUCCAAAUAUAAAACUUAGUAGAACGUUAAUAGAUUUUCAAUAUAUUUUAAAAAAUUUAUUUUCUCAAGAAACGAUUGAAAUUGAAAACGUAUGUAAUUUUAAAGUCUUUUUUAAAUGGUAUUUUGACGAAAAAAAUCGAAUGUAUAAAAGUGUGGGUGGUGGUAUCGAUAAUGUUUUUAAUAUAAGCCCAAGUAAGGGGUACUUAUUACCAUUAGAAAAAAAAAACAUAACAGUUACAUUUGCUAGCACAUCUAGUGAAAAUUAUUAUAACAUAAAUAUGAUAUGUCAAGUGAAAAAUGGAGCCAUAUAUACUUUGAAAUUACUAGCUGGACACUCAGAUAUUGUAUAUACUAUUAAUAAAACAGAACUAAAUUAUGAUAUUCAUUACAAAUCAAUAGGAGAAGACAUUAUAACAAUACAUAAUACCGGGAAAAUCCAAUUAUUUAUUGAAAUAAUUUAUACUAUAAAAUUACCAUCUUUAUUAUAUACUAACAUAAAUAAUUUUUUUAUCGAAGCACAAACUAGUAAAGACAUUAUUUUUUAUUUUCUGCCUGCAAUUCCGUUAGUGUUAACUGAAUCUAUUUUAAUAAAAAUUUGUAACUUCGAGGAAAUUAAAAUCAAAUUAAAUGCAAAGGCUUGGUAUAGUCUAUUGUAUUUAUAUGUGGAUGAUAAUAAAAGUUAUAAAAAUGUAAUAAGUAUAACUAAAAAAAAAAAAAUAAAAAAUGAGCGGUGUGUAUUUUCAUCACUAUCUGAUGGGGAAGAUAAUGCCAAUGGCGACGACAAAGGCAACGACAAUGAAAACAAAAAUGAUAACAAAUAUGAUAACAAAAAUGAUAACAAAAAUGAUAACAAAAAUGACAAUGAUAACGAAAAUGACAGUGAAAACGACGAUGAACAGUUUGACACAAGCUAUACUGGAAAUUACAAAGAAAGGAAAAAAAAAGAAUUUAAUUAUAUCAACAAUUUGAUAAAUAACACUUUGUUAUUUACUGAUGACAGCUGUUAUUAUGAAAAGCAGAAAAAGGUGCUUAUUAAAAAUUUAAAAAAAAUGUAUUUUACUAUUUUUUUAUUGCUCCGAAAAAGUAUUCAAGAAAUUUUAGAUAUUUAUUACGAAAGGAUAGAUAUGCAUGAUAAAAGUAGCAAGAGUGGUGAGUCAAAAGAUGACAAACCUAGCAGUAAUACACAUUCAAAUGAACUGGCAGACUCAAAUAAUGACACAAAAAAAAAAUACGAUCUUAUA
ensembl:lncRNA